UAAGUACUCCCUCCGUCUAACAAAGGAUGUCUCAACUUUGACUAAAUUUGAAUGAAUCAAUACAAUAAGUCAUGUCUAGGUACAUCCAAAUUUUGACAAACUUGAGACAUCUUUUGUUGAGCGGAGGGAGUAUACG
rfam:Brachypodium distachyon strain Bd21 chromosome 1, whole genome shotgun sequence.